UACGGAGGAUCCGAGCGUUAUCCGGAUUUAUUGGGUUUAAAGGGUGCGUAGGCGGCAUAUUAAGUCAGUGGUGAAAGGUAACCGCUCAACGGGGACACUGCCAUUGAUACUGAUAAGCUUGAGUACAGAUGAAGUGGGCGGAAUGUGUCAAGUAGCGGUGAAAUGCAUAGAUAUGACACAGAACACCGAUUGCGAAGGCAGCUCACUAAAGUGUAACUGACGCUGAGGCACGAAAGCGUGGGGAUCGAACAG
rnacentral:rRNA from 1 species